AUGAACACAGGUCAAAGUUCACAGGGGAUCAAGGAAUGUUAUUCUUGUAUAACCUGUUUACUUUGACCUACAAUACCAGCUU
ensembl:miRNA